CCCUUAGAUGUUCUGGGCUGCACGCGUGCUACAAUGGCGCUUGCAACAAGUCUUGCCAACCCGAUAGGGUGAGCGGAUCUUUGAAGAGGCGUCGUGAUCGGGACAGUUGAUUGCAAUUAUUCGACUCGAACGAGGAAUUCCUUGUAAUCGCGAUUCAUCAUAUCGCGCUGAAUACGUCCCUGCCCUUUGUACACACCGCCCGUCGCUCCUACCGAUUGAGCGAUUCGGUGAAUGUUUUGGACUGGCGUCAGAAGCGGCUCGCUCCUGACACUACGAAAUUUUGUAAACCUUAUCGCUUAGAGGAAGGAAAAGUCGUAACA
rnacentral:rRNA from 1 species